rnacentral:rRNA from 1 species
GUAUCCGGAUUUAUUGGGUUUAAAGGGAGCGUAGGUGGAUUGUUAAGUCAGUUGUGAAAGUUUGCGGCUCAACCGUAAAAUUGCAGUUGAAACUGGCAGUCUUGAGUACAGUAGAGGUGGGCGGAAUUCGUGGUGUAGCGGUGAAAUGCUUAGAUAUCACGAAGAACUCCGAUUGCGAAGGCAGCUCACUAGACUGCAACUGACACUGAUGCUCGAAAGUGUGGGUAUCAAACAGGAUUAGAUACCCUGGUAGUCCACACAGUAAACGAUGAAUACUCGCUGUUUGCGAUAUACAGUAAGCGGCCAAGCGAAAGCAUUAAGUAUUCCACCUGGGGAGUACGCCGGCAACGGUGAAACUCAAAGGAAUUGACGGGGGCCCGCACAAGCGGAGGAACAUGUGGUUUAAUUCGAUGAUACGCGAGGAA